UCUUUGCUAGUAUAUCGGUUAGUACACGCGCCUGUCAUUAUUACAAUGUACGCGCGAAAGCUGGGUUCGACUCCCAGGCAAAGAG